GACGAACGCUGGCGGCGUGCUUAACACAUGCAAGUCGAACGGAAAGGCCCUGCUUGCAGGGUACUCGAGUGGCGAACGGGUGAGUAACACGUGGGUGAUCUGCCCUUCACUUCGGGAUAAGCCUGGGAAACUGGGUCUAAUACCGGAUAGGAGCCAUUUUUAGUGUGAUGGUUGGAAAGUUUUUUCGGUGUAGGAUGAGCUCGCGGCCUAUCAGCUUGUUGGUGGGGUAAUGGCCUACCAAGGCGGCGACGGGUAGCCGGCCUGAGAGGGUGGACGGCCACAUUGGGACUGAGAUACGGCCCAGACUCCUACGGGAGGCAGCGGUGGGGAAUAUUGCACAAUGGGCGCAAGCCUGAUGCAGCGACGCCGCGUGGGGGAUGACGGCCUUCGGGUUGUAAACUCCUUUCGCUAGGGACGAAGCUUUUUGUGACGGUACCUAGAUAAGAAGCACCGGCUAACUACGUG
rnacentral:rRNA from 1 species